rfam:Vigna radiata var. radiata cultivar VC1973A chromosome 6, whole genome shotgun sequence
GUGCUUCGGACAAGUUACUCGGAUUCCCCUUCAAGGCAUCCUUGUUGAUGCAGACCCGGGUUUCUGAAGCA